rnacentral:rRNA from 1 species
AUUGAACGCUGGCGGCAGGCCUAACACAUGCAAGUCGAGCGAGCGGCGGACGGGUGAGUAAUGUAUGGGGACUGCCCGAUAGAGGGGGAUAACUACUGGAAAAGGUGGCUAAUACCGCAUACUGUAGGAUCACCAAUAGGGGUGUUGCUAGUAGGUAAGGUAAUGGAUUACCUAGGCGACGAUCCCUAGCUGGUCUGAGAGGAUGAUCAGCCACACUGGGACUGAGACACGGCCCAGACUCCUACGGAGGCAGCAGUGGGGAAUAUUGCACAAUGGGCGCAAGCCUGAUGCAGCCAUGCCGCGUGUAUGAAGAAGGCCCUAGGGUUGUAAAGUACUUUCAGUCGGGAGGCGUUACCGACAGAAGAAGCACCGGCUAACUCCGUGCCAGCAGCCGCGGUAAUUC